UACGGGGGGGGCAAGCGUUGUUCGGAAUUACUGGGCGUAAAGGGCUCGUAGGCGGCCAACUAAGUCGGAUGUGAAAUCCCCAGGCUCAACCUGGGAACUGCAUCCGAUACUGGAUGGCUUGAAUCCGGGAGAGGGAUGCAGAAUUCCAGGUGUAGCGGUGAAAUGCGUAGAUAUCUGGAGGAAUACCAGUGGCGAAGGCGGCAUCCUGGCCUUAUCCUGACGCUCAGGGGCGAAAGCGUGGGGAGCAAACCGG
rnacentral:rRNA from 1 species